rnacentral:rRNA from 1 species
AGAGUUUGAUCCUGGCUCAGGACGAACGCUGGCGGCGUGCUUAACACAUGCAAGUCGAACGGUGACGAGGAGCUUGCUCCUCUGAUCAGUGGCGAACGGGUGAGUAACACGUGGGCAACCUGCCCCUGACUUCGGGAUAACGCUUCGAAAGAGGUGCUAAUACCGGAUAUGAGUCCCUCCGGCAUCUGAGGGACUGGAAAGUUUUUCGGUCAGGGAUGGGCCCGCGGCCUAUCAGCUUGUUGGUGAGGUAACGGCUCACCAAGGCGACGACGGGUAGCCGGCCUGAGAGGGCGACCGGCCACACUGGGACUGAGACACGGCCCAGACUCCUACGGGAGGCAGCAGUGGGGAAUAUUGCGCAAUGGGCGAAAGCCUGACGCAGCAACGCCGCGUGAGGGAUGACGGCCUCGG